AUCAAAAGAAAAAUAAGGAAACAUUCAGUCUUUUGACUCUGGUAACUUCCUGUGCAGUGAGUAAGCCUGUGAGCACUGAUGGUCUUGUCAUCUUGUGGGGUCCUGGGGUAAGGCAGUCCCCCUGGGGCCCGUGAGGGGUGCUAGGUUCAGGUGGUUACCCUCAGGCUGUAUGAGCUGGGACCUGGGAGCCCCCGGAGGCUUGGGAGUGGAGCCUCAGAGCAGAGGCCGGAGGGGUCACUUGCCCAAGCACCACUGCUGGGAUCUGGAAACUGGAGUUGGUCUGGUCAUGGCCUGGGCCAGGGCUUUUCUGUCAGUCAGAGGUGGCGUCUUGGGGUCCCCUGGCAGUUCACGGUGUUAUGCAGUAGACCGACCCACAGUGUGAGGUGCAGAGAGGGAUGUGCCCACUGAGGCUAGGGGCCCUGGGUUCAAGCGCUGAAGUCUGUCUGAGUCGAAUCGGCUCAGAUUCAGGCGGUGAGGUGGCAGGUGCUGGAGGCAAGCUUCUGGUGGUGGCCUCUGUCGCCUUGGCCCCAGCCGGAAGUGGGCGGGAACCCUGCGAGGCAGCCCCAGUGAGUGCUCCCACCUCUGGGCUCCGCUGCCCUUGGAAGUGGACGCUGCUCCCUCUCACUUCCUGCCCCGCCCUCGGCUGGGCUCCUGGGCCCCAGUGAAACACAGGAAGCGAGUUCAGCUGCUCCCUGUUUCCUUGGUCAGAGCUGGGCGUCCCGCAGAGGCACCACACUCAGGCUGGCAGGGUGGACAGAGAUAAAGGCAGGAGAGUGAAAGAAGCCAUGACACCAAAGUUCCCUUCAGUGUGGUGGGGGCUGGACUCGAACCCAGGUCACCCCCAGCAGAGCAGCGCCCUAUCCAAGUGAACUACUGUGCCAGCCCACAAGAACAUUUGCAAAAAUUGUUUUUUGUUUUAAAGGCACAGAGACAGAAACACACACCAGAGUCCUGCUGAGCUCUGGCCGAUGGUGGUGCGGGGGAUUGAACCUGGGACCUUGGAGCUUCAGGCAGGAGAGUCUCUUUGCAGAACCUCUGUGCUGUCUCCCCACCCCAAGAAUACUUACAAACACACCUCAAGCUUCUGUUUACUUAUGGGGGAGGCCAUGCCGCCUCCUGGCUGGAGCCCAGGCCUUCCCGUCUUCCCUCUCAGCAGCGUCCUAACCGUUGACUUUUACCCUGGAUUCAAAAUGAUUCAAAAUGCAGUUCGUCCCACUCCUUGCAGACCAGCAGGCACUGCUGGAGGCCUGCAGCUGGGUGCAGGGGCAGUGCUGGUGUGGGGUGCCUCCACUAAGUGGGGGGAAGCACUGGACCCCACAGUUUGACUUUGCUUUGCCUGGGCUGAUGGUGUUGGCGGCUGGACCCGAGGCCUCAGGCCCCACAGUCUUACACGGUGACUGCUCUGCUUCUCUCAUGUUCACAGGCUGGUGGCUCUCUGGAUGUAGACUGGCAUUUCCCCCUUUUUUCCCCCUUGGUACUUUUCUGAUUUUUUUUCUCUGUCUACCAGACCCUGCUCAGUUCUUGCUGAUGGUGGUGCUGGGGAUUGAACCUGGGACUUUGGAGCCUCAGGCAGCAGUCUGUUUGCAUAACCGCUAUGCUAUCUCCUCCGCCCUUCUCUUGAGUUUUUUAAUCCAUAGAAAACAUGGUGUUUUGUUAAGUCACUACUUUUUAAAAUACAUUUUUAAUUAGUAUUUUUUUAUUGGAUAGAGACAGAAAUCAAGAGGGAAGGGAGAGGCAGAGAGGGAGGGAGAGAAACAGCAAGACACCUGUAGCCUUGCUCUACCACUCUGGAAGCUUCCUUCCCUGCAGGUGGGAAGUGGGGGCUCGAACUUGGGUCCUUGUGCGUGUUAAUGCGUGUGCCACCACCUGGCUCCCUGUAAAUCACUAGUGAAAUAUAUAUGUGUGUGUUUAAAAAAAAAAGAAAA